GGGGGUGUAUUUGUUCGACAGAAGGCACAUUAAAAACAUGUUUGCAAGUAAGUGAGCUCGGCUACUUUAAGUGCCGGCAAAACUAAGUGUAAAUUCACUUUUUAGCAAGGUAAAAACUGCUUUUGCAGGAUUUGCUCUUGCGCCAGUUGCUGCCUAAUCGCAACAACCGUUCAUCCUUUGUCUACUCGAAUGAAGGGCAUGAGCGUCAUAUUUCGAGUUGCGUAUAGCUAGGUUUUCAAGCUAGUUAUAUCAAGAUUUACUUGAGAUAGAGUGAUGGAUUUUCGUCCCGGUCAUAUUCAUUAUUCGAAUAAAUUUUAUCGGGAUUAAACUUGUAGACGACAUGUUUUUAACCUUUUGGACGCCGGUGUAACCCCGGCCACCUCCACCA
rnacentral:tmRNA from 1 species